rnacentral:tRNA from 1 species
AUUUAAGUAGUUUAUUGAAAAUAUUGAUUUGUGGUGUCAAUGUAGUAAUAUUAUUUACCUUAGAUC